GCAUCGAGCGAAUACUUAAUAAAUACGUCGGCGUAAAACGCUCGACGAGCGGCGGAGACUCGGCCAGUCGUUCGAUACCUGCUCGCAGGUGCUCGUUCGGCGCGAGGUCGUUUCCCGAUGUCGCCGUCGACGCUACCGACGUUUAGGCGUCCGCGGCGUCCGAGUCGGCCACCCGUCCGACCCGUCUUGAAACACGGACCAAGGAGUCUAACGUACGCGCGAGUUAAUGGGCGGAAAACCCAUAAGCGCAAUAAAAGUAAAAGUCGUCUAAAGACGGCCGAGGUACGAUCCUAGACUACGCGUCUAGGCGCAGUACCGUCCCGUCCCGACCGCACGUCGGUAGGGCGGAGAUUGAGCGCAUACGUUGGGACCCGAAAGAUGGUGAACUAUGCCUGAGCAGAGCGAAGCCAGAGGAAACUCUGGUGGAGGUUCGUAGCGGUUCUGACGUGCAAAUCGAUCGUCAGACUGGUAU
rnacentral:rRNA from 1 species